rnacentral:rRNA from 1 species
AUUGAACGCUGGCGGCAGGCCUAACACAUGCAAGUCGAGCGGAGCGGCGGACGGGUGAGUAAUGCCUAGGAAUCUGCCUGGUAGUGGGGGAGAACGUCCGGAAACGGGAGCUAAUACCGCAUACUAUCAGAUUAGCAUAGGUCGCAUUAGCUUGUUGGUGGUGUAAAGGCCUACCAAGGCGACGAUCCGUAACUGGUCUGAGAGGUUGAUCAGUCACACGGGAACUUAGACACGGUCCAGACUCCUACGGGAGGCAGCAGUGGGGAAUAUUGGACAAUGGGCGAAAGCCUGAUCCAGCCAUGCCGCGUGUGUGAAGAAGGUCUUCGGAUUGUAAAGCACUUUAAGUUGGGAGGCGUUACCCACAGAAUAAGCACCGGCUAACUUCGUGCCAGCAGCCGCGGUAAUAG